rnacentral:tRNA from 1 species
GGAUGUGGCCCAGUGGUAGAGCGCUCACCUGGCAUGCGUGAGGCACUGGGUUCGAUACUCAGCGCCA